rnacentral:rRNA from 2 species
AGGUUAAGUUAACAAGGGCGCAUGGUGAAUGCCUUGGCACUAGGAGCCGAUGAAGGACGGGACUAACACCGAUAUGCUUCGGGGAGCUGUACGUAAGCUAUGAUCCGGAGAUUUCCGAAUGGGGCAACCCAGCAGUUUUAAUCAACUGUUACCACUAGAUGAAUUCAUAGUCUAGUUGGAGGUAAACGCUGUGAACUGAAACAUCUCAUUAGCAGCAGGAAUAUAAAGAAAUUUCGAUUCCCUAAGUAGCGGCGAGCGAACGGGGAACAGCCCAAACCAAAGUGCUUGCACUUUGGGGUUGUAGGACUGAACAUUUGAGUUACCAAAGAACUUGAUAGUCGAAGGAUUUGGGAAAAUCCGCCAUAGAUGGUGAUAGCCCAGUAGAUUAAAUCAAAUUCUCUCAGUUCAGGAUCCUGAGUACGGCGGAACACGUGAAAUUCCGUCGGAAUCCGGGAGGACCAUCUCCCAAGGCUAAAUACUACCUAGUGACCGAUAGUGAACCAGUACCGUGAGGGAAAGGUGAAAAGCACCCCGGGAGGGGAGUGAAAUAGUUCCUGAAACCAUGUGCCUACAAUAAGUCAGAGCGCGUUAAUGCGUGAUGGCGUGCCUUUUGUAGAAUGAACCGGCGAGUUAUGAUCCCGUGCAAGGUUAAGACUAAAAAGUCGGAGCCGUAGCGAAAGCGAGUCUGAAAUGGGCGUUUUGAGUACGAGGUUAUAGACCCGAAACCAGGUGACCUAUCCAUGUCCAGGUUGAAGGUGCGGUAAAACGCACUGGAGGACCGAACCCGUGUAAGUUGAAAAUUGCUGGGAUGAGGUGUGGAUAGCGGUGAAAUUCCAAACGAACUUGGAGAUAGCUGGUUCUCUCCGAAAUAGCUUUAGGGCUAGCCUCGGAAUUAGGAUCAUGGAGGUAGAGCACUAUUUGGACUAGGGGCCCGUCUUGGGUUACUGAAUUCAGAUAAACUCCGAAUGCCAUUGAUUCAUAUCCGGGAGUCAGACGAUGAGUGAUAAGAUCCACCGUCGAAAGGGGAACAGCCCAGACCAUCAGUUAAGGUCCCUAAAUGUAUGCUAAGUGGAAAAGGAUGUGGAGUUGCAUAGACAACUAGGAUGUUGGCUCAGAAGCAGCCACCAUUUAAAGAGUGCGUAAUAGCUCACUAGUCGAGUGAUCCUGCGCCGAAAAUGUACCGGGGCUAAGCAUACUACCGAAACCAUGGAUGCGACCAUUAGGUCGCGUGAUAGGAGAGCGUUCUAAGGGCGGUGAAGCAAGAUCGUGAGGACUUGUGGAGCGCUUAGAAGUGAGAAUGCCGGUAUGAGUAGCGAAAGAUAGGUGAGAAUCCUAUCCACCGAAUGACUAAGGUUUCCUGGGGAAGGCUCGUCCUCCCAGGGUUAGUCGGGACCUAAGUCGAGGCCGAGAGGCGUAGACGAUGGAUAACAGGUUGAGAUUCCUGUACUAGUUAAGUGCGUUUGAGCAAUGGAGGGACGCAGGAGGCUAAGAUGUGCAUUCUGUUGGAUUAGAAUGUCCAAGCAGUAAGUCUUGUGAAGAGUCAAAUGCUUUUCACUUUAAGGACAAGCUGUGAUGGGGAGCGAAAUUUAGUAGCGAAGCGUCUGAUGUCACACUGCCGAGAAAAGCUUCUAGUGAGUACUUAACUACCCGUACCGCAAACCGACACAGGUAGUCGAGGAGAGAAUCCUAAGGUGAGCGAGUGAACUCUCGUUAAGGAACUCGGCAAAAUGACCCCGUAACUUCGGGAGAAGGGGUGCUGAUCGCAAGAUCAGCCGCAGUGAAUAGGCCUAGGCGACUGUUUAUCAAAAACACAGGUCUCUGCAAAAUCGUAAGAUGACGUAUAGGGGCUGACGCCUGCCCGGUGCUGGAAGGUUAAAAGGAUGGGUUAGCUUCGGCGAAGCUCAGAAUUGAAGCCCCAGUAAACGGCGGCCGUAACUAUAACGGUCCUAAGGUAGCGAAAUUCCUUGUCGGGUAAGUUCCGACCCGCACGAAAGGCGUAACGAUCUGGGCACUGUCUCAACGAGAGACUCGGUGAAAUUAUAUUGUCCGUGAAGAUGCGGACUACCCGCGACAGGACGGAAAGACCCCAUGGAGCUUUACUGUAGCUUGAUAUUGAGUGUUUGUACAGCUUGUACAGGAUAGGUAGGAGCCAUAGAAACCGGAACGCUAGUUUCGGUGGAGGCGUUGGUGGGAUACUACCCUCGCUGUAUGACCACUCUAACCCGCACCACUAAUCGUGGUGGGAGACAGUGUCAGGUGGGCAGUUUGACUGGGGCGGUCGCCUCCUAAAAAGUAACGGAGGCGCCCAAAGGUUCCCUCAGAAUGGUUGGAAAUCAUUCGCAGAGUGUAAAGGCACAAGGGAGCUUGACUGCGAGACAGACAGGUCGAGCAGGGACGAAAGUCGGGCUUAGUGAUCCGGUGGUACCGUAUGGAAGGGCCAUCGCUCAACGGAUAAAAGCUACCCUGGGGAUAACAGGCUUAUCUCCCCCAAGAGUCCACAUCGACGGGGAGGUUUGGCACCUCGAUGUCGGCUCAUCGCAUCCUGGGGCUGUAGUCGGUCCCAAGGGUUGGGCUGUUCGCCCAUUAAAGCGGUACGCGAGCUGGGUUCAGAACGUCGUGAGACAGUUCGGUCCCUAUCCGUCGCGGGCGUAGGAAAUUUGAGAGGACCUGUCCUUAGUACGAGAGGACCGGGAUGGACAUACCUCUGGUGUACCAGUUGUGCCGCCAGGCGCAUCGCUGGGUAGCUACGUAUGGAUGUGAUAAACGCUGAAAGCAUCUAAGUGUGAAACACACCUCGAGAUGAGAUUUCCCAUUCCUUUAUGGAAGUAAGACCCCUGAAAGAUGAUCAGGUAGAUAGGUUAGAAGUGGCAGUGCGGUGACGCAUGAAGCGGACUAAUACUAAUCGGUCGAGGACUUAACCAAG